rnacentral:lncRNA from 1 species
CAGAGGAGGGGACUCACUCACGUUUUUGAAAAUUGCCCUGGUGUCUCUAGGGUGAUGGUCACAUGUCUCUCUCUUUAUUCAGCAGGUUACUGUCAUGUUUGCUGAUGUCCCAUUAGCCAAAGCAAGUCACAGAGCAAAUUCAAUUUAAGAGAGCAGAAAUAGAUUAUAUCCCUUGAUUGAGGAGCCACACUUCAAAGGACCAUGAAUAUAAGAAGAGGAAUUAGAACAAUUUAUAAACUACCAUAGGUAGUCAUAUAAAAAGUAAAAUAAAUGUAAAAUCAAACGACAAAAAAACUGACUGAUAAAGGUUCAAUUUACAGAUUUUAUUACUGAAUAGGGGUGUAAAUUCCAAUAGUUUACUAGUGCAUUAAAAUCACAAUACAUUACAAGGUAAUCAAGAGAGAAAUUCCUUGAUUUCUAAUUUAGAUAAUUUGGGUGGAUUUUGGUACUGUUCUGGAAGACAAGGGCAAUUCAUGUUCAGACUAAAGAUCACCCAUUAUUGAUUCUUUGAAAGUACAUGUAGCGUGAAACAUGACUGCAAAGUGGUUCCUUUCAGUCUAUAAAAGAUGAAAAAAAAUAAUUUUAGGAGUGUCUGAGACCUUUAGCCUUGUCUAAGUAAUUGAAUUGGCCCUUUGGUCACCGGGUGGUUAGUUAUCUUGAGAUGUAAUUUAUUUAGAAAAGUAUUACUAGUGGAUUUAUGUGAUACUGAGUCUGAUAAAGAUCUUUCCUGGAAGUUGAAAAGCAUGCCUGCCAGAAUUUAUUUAGGUUUUAAUAAGUGAAUAAAUGAAGCCAGGGCUAUAGAGUGGGAACCACCUCUGGUCACCAAAUGGUCCAUGCCUUUUCUUUGUUUCACAAAUUUGAAUAAUUGUAGUUCUUCAUUUCAAUGUGCCUGUUCAUUUAAGAGGGAACCCUUAGGGCAUACUUGUUUGUUUGUUAGAUAAAACCAUCCUAAGACACAACACAGAGCAUACAGGCUGCAAUGCAAGCACAUAAAACCUGAGAUACCAGAUGGAAAAUGUCUUAGGCUUGUAGUUCUGAUUUGCUAAAAUAAAAAAAUAAAAUAUAAAUUAAAAAAAGCGCAGGGUGCGGGGGAUGGGGUGGUGGAUGUAGGGGCAAACAUUUAAAUUUUGCUUCUGUUGUUUUCCCCUGUUAAUACAGAAAUUUGAUGUUGGUAUCUUACAGAAAAUGAGCUUUUAAAAGCAAAUCUUCAGAGUUUAAAAAUCAUCCCACCCUCCUCGCAAAAAUCUGCAAUAUUAUUUUUCUUUAUAAAAUCGACCCAGCUGAAAUAUUUUCUGAUGAGUUUAAAUGCAUAUGAACUAGUGCUCUAGAGACUGUCUUAAUGGAGUACUUCAUUUUGUACUUUAUUGAAAUGUGUACUUUGAAAACAUUGGUGAAAUUUGCCAUUUCCCACCUGGCAUCAGCAACAGCUGGAGCCUGGCCCAUUUACGAUGGCCUACACUCACGCAGUACUAAUCUAAAGCAAAUGUCAUAUGAAAAGCUAUGUCCCUGCCCCUUCUCCUGUUAAAUGCAUCUAAGACAAAAGUAAGAGCAUAAUAUUUUAUUUAAGCUCAGCUAUUUUUCUUUUUCUCCUCUUCCCUUACCAUUUCUGUUGCUCUAAAACUAUUUCUCGUGGUCAUGCUCUUAACUGAGAUAUUUGUAGGGAAAUGAUUUGUUUUAAAUGAGCAGAUGGGCCAGACUUAAGACAAGCUGCUACAUUAAUAAACAUGUGUGGUACUUUAUCAGUAAAGGAGCCUAUUUUGACAUUUCUUCUGGAUGAUUUGUAUAGCCUAUCACUAUCACACCUGGUGCAGGGACAAUAAAUGGGCACUUAAUAGUCAAGCAGUGUGCGAACACCUUCCAUUAUAACUUCAUUAUGUCAGAUAUGAUCAUCUGUUACUGAAUGUCAGGCACUUAAUUUAUGAUCAGUUGCCCUAUGGAAUUAGUGACCAAACAAAUGAAUAGUCCAUUCGUGUAACUUUUGCUGUAAAUGUAUUUCUCCUAAUACCAACCCCCUUUUUUUAAGCACAUGGACUUAAUCUGAUAUCCUUUGGGAUUUUAAAACAUAAGAUGUUUUGUUUUAUAUUUGUGAAAUUUGAGAAGUGGGAAAAUGUGAAUAACAUAUGAUGUAAAAUUCCAUACUCAAUUAUGUUAAUGCCCGUAUCUGUUUAAAAUAAGCACAAUUCUUUAGUUUCGUUUACCAAUGAAUUUCAGUUUGAUUUUGGUAAAGUGACAAUGCUUUUUGGAAAAAAAAUAGAACUUCUCCCUAGAGAUCUGCUAUACAAUAAUGUGCAUAUAGUUAAUACUGUACUGUACACUUAAAGUUAAUUGAGGGUAAAUUUCAUGUUAUGUGUUUUUUACCACUUUUUUUAAAAAAAGAACUUCUCCAUUGGACAAUAUAAACAGGGUAUAGUUAGUUAACUGUGGCACUAUCAAAGCAAUAGGUACAAAAGACACAGUGAAAAGAGAAGCUUAGGUUUUUGAGAGAGGCACCAGGAGGAAUAAAGACAGCCAAGGAACUGGUACUUUGUAGGCUUUAAUAAUUAAUGUUCCUGGCUGGACAUGGUGGUUCAUGCCUAUAAUCUCAGCACUUUGGGAGGCCAUGGCAGGAGGAUCUCUUGAGACCAGGAGUUUGAGAUUGGCCAGGGCAACAUAACAAGUCUCCCAUCUCUACAAAAAAAAAAAUUUUUUUUUUUUUGAGACAGAUUCUACUCUGGCACCCAGGCUUGAGUGUGGUGGCACCAUCAUGGCUCACUGCAGACUUGACCUUCCAGGUUCAAGCAAUCCUCCUACCUCUGCCUCCCAAGCUAGGACUACAAGCACAUGUGCCAUCAUGCCCAGCUAAUUUUUCUUUUUUUGUAGAGGCAGGGUUUUGCCAUGUUGCCCAGGCUUCUACAAAAAUUUCUUUAAAAUUAGCCUAGCUACUCAGGAGGCUAAGGCAGAAGGAUUGCUUGAGCUCAGGAAGGUGAGCUGCAGUGAGCUAACUCCACAACUCUAUACUCCAGCCUGGGCAACAGAGUGAGAUGAGACCUUCUCUCUAAACAAACAAACAAAACAAACAGACAAAAAAGAAGUAAUGUUCCCUGCUGGCAUCUGCAGAACCUUUUUACCCUCUUCUUUGGACAUAACAACAUGCCAUCAGAACUCCACCAUGUCUAUAUUCAAGAUCAUUAUUAGAGAAAUCCUUAGACUCUCAAUUGAAGUUACUAUCUAUGAAAAGAUUCUUUCAGAGAUGUCUAGCCUAUUUUCUAAUGAGGACCUUAGAACUGGGGCAGUGAUAAGACCAACUGUAGGGGGAAAGAAGUCUCAAAGCCUGUUUAAGAAUCAAUUAAACUAUUUGACCAGCCAGAUUAGUAGGAAACCGAAUGCUACAGAAUAGGAAAAUAUUAACAAACUGUUAAUAGAGAAGGAUGGUAUGAGAAUUAAUCUACAAUAGACAUAUUAGAAUUGUCUUAAGCUAUUUGAAGGGCUAGAGAUGCCAAAAAGGAGAUCGUGUCUGUGUCAUAAUAUUAUUGACCUAGCUUUAUUCCUCCUAGUUCUAGCUUUAUUAUUUUGUUUUAUUUUAUUAUUUUAUUUUUUGAGACAGUCUUGCUGUGUGCCCAGGCUGGAUGCAGUGGCGCCAUCUUGGUUCACUGCAACCUCUGCCUCCUGGGUUCAAGCAAUCCUCGUGCCUCAGCCACCCAAAUAGCUGGGAUUACAGGCACCUGCCACCACACCCGGCUAAUUUUUGUAUUUCUAGUAGAGACAGGAUUUCACCGUGUUGGCCAGGCUGGUCUCAAAUGCCUGACCUCAAGGGAUCCACCCACCUCUGCCUCCCAAAGUGCUGGGAUUACAGGCGUGAGCCACCACACCCGGCCUAGCUUUGUCAUUUUAAAUAACAAUUAAGAGAGGGAGAAUUUUGAUUCUGACAACUUUCAUAGUAUCAUUGUCAUGACCGAUGGCACUCACACUGGAAACAAGGUGAUAGAAAGUCAUUAACUUCUCUGCCAGGCCUAUAGGCUUAAAGAAACCAUGCAUUUUGGAGAUGUCUUCAACAGCUAAAAAACGUCAUGAAGAUGAAGAAAGGAAAAGAUGCUAAGUAAAAAAAAAAAAAAAAAAAAAAAAAAAAAAAAGAUGCUAAGUGGGGGAUAACCAGGAGUGAAGCAGGGGAGGUGGGGUAGGUAUUCCUAACAUUCUAAAUUUAAAAGCCCUGGUACUGUGAAAGAAUGCACCUGGCCAACCUGGUGAAACCCGUCUCUACUAAAAAUGCAAAACUUAGCUAGGCAUGGUGGUGGACACCUGUAAUCCCAGCUACUCGGGAGGCUGAAGCAGGAGAAUCACUUGAACCCAGGAGGCGGAGGUUCCAGUGAGCCAAGAUCAUGCCAUUGCACUCCAGCCUGGGUGACAAAGCGAGACUGCAUCUCAAAAAAAAAAAAAAAAAAAAAAAAAAAAAAUAUAUAUAUAUAUAUAUAUAUUUACUUUAUUCACCCCAGAAAAAGAGGGAAAAGACUGACUAAAACGAAUAAUCGUAAUAACCUCAUUGUUUUGUAGUUUGAACAUCACUGCUUGAAAGAUCCUAACUGAUAAACUCUCACAUUCAUUGCAACUGUCUUGCCUUAAUGCAGACUCUGUUCAUCUUUUCUUUGUCUUUUUCCAACAGACUCAAGCUACUUUCACUGCUUUUGGACUGCUUCCUUCUUCUUUGACCAGCUCCCUCACUCCCUUCUGCUACUGUGUA